rnacentral:lncRNA from 1 species
UGUGAAAUCUCAUACAACAUGGUUUUCCAGAAAGACAACUGGAGGCGAUAUCUUCCGGGUCAUAAGGAAGCAGCCUCAAGCAGCUGAGAUCAAGUCCCCAUAACAGACUAAUGGGCACUACAACUGCCCUAUUCUCACCAGGGCCAAAAGCUUUCUGGGAAGUUGGAGGAGUGAGGAAUAGUAAUUGGGUAGAUAAAAAUGUACAAGCCAGGGAUCAGGGAGGCGCGAAUGCUAUCCUGAGUGGGACGAGGGAGUUCUGCUCUUACAGUGCCAGCCGAGGUCCAUGGCAACAGAGAAGCCAACACAACUGCGUUCUUGGAACCUGCUUUGGAAGUUUCCCAGUUGGACGGCGAGCCGAACUCACAUGGCCUCAGACGUGCUCUCUAGCCAAGGAUAACCUUUAACUUGCUGAGCCUCUAGGAAGACCACAGCAUAUACCCAAGCUUCCUGCAAAAACUCCUCAAAUUACAAUCUCUUCUGGACCAGAGCUGCCCUUCACGUGCUGGGAUUGCAGCAAGAAAAACAAAACCAGAAGGAAGGGGUGAGAGAAAAAAAAAAAAAAAAAAGCAAAUGGGGAACUGAAAAAUUAUUGAAGGGCUGGUGAGGUGACUCAGUGGAAAAAGGAGCUUGCUGCCAAGUCUGAAGACCAGAGUUCAAUUCCCAGGACCCACCUGGUGGAAGUUGUCUUCGAACUGCCCCAUGAAUAUUCAAACACAAGCAUGUAUAUUCAUACAAAAUAAAUAAAUAUAAUAUAAAAAAAUAAACAGCUGAAAAAGU